CUAAUAACACAAAAAGAAUGAAAUGUUGCCAUGUUUUUUUGAAAACACCAUGUAAACAUUCACAGUGCAGGUGGAAAAAGUAUGUGAACCCUUGGAUUUAAUAACUGGUUGAACCUCCUUUGGCAGCAAUAACUUCAACCAAAAGUUUCCUGUAGUUGCAGAUCAGACGUGCACAAUGGUCAGGAGUAAUUCUUGACCAUUCCUCUUU